CCUUUACAAAAUUCCUUCAGAGAAAAUAUGACAAGAAGCAAAGUUUUUCUUUUCUCGGCAGGAUUGUUCUCCACCUAAAGAGAUAAUGUUUAUCAUGUAGUCUAGAAUUUGAUGAUAUUAGGAACCAUUUUGUCUACAUGACAUUCAAAUAUAAGAGAAUUAAACUCUGAUGGAUGGUUUGGAGGCUAUUGAAAAAAAAAGUGAACUCUCCUUCUUUGCUAAUUUGUAUUAUUCUCAUUUGGCAAAUAACUGUUGCUGGCAUGGACAGCUUAGACCAAUUUAAUGUAUUGGACAGGAUCCCAGGAUUAAAUGAGGAUAUAAUCAAGAUAAAGCACCACCUUGUGAACCAGUAGGUCUUAAAACAGAAUUCAUGAACCUCUGGAAAACUACAGGUGAAGGAAAAAAAGGAAGGAGGAAAAAUAUAUUAGAGAAGAAAGGUGAAGAAAUGAGCAGAAUUUACUGUUUCACACAGUGAUAAGGAAGUGAUAAGGAGACGUGUACAUUGAUCACGUGAACCUCACUUUCAUCUGAACUGAAUAAAAGCUGUUGACAUACACAGAGCUUGAUUUUAAAAAAUUGAACUGAACAGGGAAGCAGGUAAGAAUAUGAAGAGGGCAGAGAGAGUGAAAAAAAAAAAAAGGGCAAAGAAAUGGAGCAGAAUUUAUUGUGCUUUAGAUGAACUCCAAAGAUAUAAACAGGGAAAUUACAUUAUGCCUAAAGAUACUGUAGACAAUGAAUUAAUACCAAUACUAUCUACACACACACACACACACAUACACACACACACACAUACAUGUGUUCAUUGGUCUGUAGCAGGAAAAUGACAAUAAAACUAUAAAAUGUGGGGGUCUCAGACUAUGUCUUUCAGACUCAGACAAAUAUAAAAUAAAAAGAAACAAAAUUAAGAGCCUGCAUAGAAUCUUAGACAAGUUGCAUAUAAUAGAAUUCUGGCAAUUAUUAAUCAUGAGCUGGGGCACAGAAAAUUCACAAAUAUGGAAAAAGGAAAUAUUAAGGAAUCCUCUAUUAACCAAUUAAUUAUCCAAUAAAUUAAGCAAUCCUCUAUUAAUCAAAAUUUAGUACAUAUCAUAUUUGAUAAAGAAACUCUGAAGAGUUAUCAAACUGUGCAUACCCUUUGACCCAGCAGUGCUAC